rnacentral:rRNA from 1 species
GAUGAACGCUAGCGGCAGGCUUAAUACAUGCAAGUCGAGGGGCAGCAUGAUUGUAGCAAUACAAUUGAUGGCGACCGGCAAACGGGUGCGGAACACGUACACAACCUUCCAACAAGUGGGGGAUAGCCCAGAGAAAUUUGGAUUAAUACCCCGUAACAUAGCGAUGUGGCAUCACAUUGCUAUUAUAGAUUUUUCGCUUGUUGAUGGGUGUGCGGCUGAUUAGAUAGUUGGCGGGGUAACGGCCCACCAAGUCUACGAUCAGUAGCUGUUGUGAGAGCAUGAUCAGCCACACGGGCACUGAGACACGGGCCCGACUCCUACGGGAGGCAGCAGUAAGGAAUAUUGGACAAUGGACGCAAGCCUGAUCCAGCCAUGCCGCGUGAAGGAUUAAGGUCCUCUGGAUUGUAAACUUCUUUUAUAAGGGACGAAAAAAGGCUUUUCUAAGUCGUCUGACGGUACCUUAUGAAUAAGCACCGGCUAACUCCGUGCCAGCCGCCGCAGUAACAC